UUCGUAGGGCGCAAGCGUUGUCCGGAAUUAUUGGGCGUAAAGAGCUCGUAGGCGGUCUGUCGCGUCGGCUGUGAAAACCCGGAGCUCAACUCCGGGCCUGCAGUCGAUACGGGCAGACUGGAGUUCGGCAGGGGAGACUGGAAUUCCUGGUGUAGCGGUGAAAUGCGCAGAUAUCAGGAGGAACACCGGUGGCGAAGGCGGGUCUCUGGGCCGAUACUGACGCUGAGGAGCGAAAGCGUGGGGAGCGAACAGG
rnacentral:rRNA from 1 species